CCCUUAGAUGUCCUGGGCCGCACGCGUGCUACACUGACACUUACACCGAGUUUUUCCAAUGCCGAAAGGCCAUUGGUAAUCAGCAAUAAGUGUCGUGAUGGGGAUAGAUCUUUGGAAUUAUUGAUCUUGAACGAGGAAUGCCUAGUAAUCGUAGGUCAUCAGCCUGCGAUGAUUACGUCCCUGCCCUUUGUACACACCGCCCGUCGCACCUACCGAUUGAAUGGUCCGGUGAAGCCUCCGGAUUGGCGCGCACCUCGGUGCCGCCGAGAAGUUGGCUAAACCUUACCAUUUAGAGGAAGGUGAAGUCGUAACA
rnacentral:rRNA from 1 species